rnacentral:tRNA from 1 species
GAGGGGGAGGAUCACCCAGCAAGAGCUGCUAACUCUCGCUUCUGAGACUAAAACCUCAGCCCCCUUA